rnacentral:rRNA from 1 species
ACAAACUAUUAUUUAUGCUGUUAGACGGAUAGCUUGGUUUUGGUAAUGACAACGGACGUGGCAAGCUGCGAUAAGCUCGAGGGAGUUGCACGCAAACACUGAUCUCGAGAUCUCCAAUUAUUCCGAGAGGAAAAAUCACGCCGGGAAUUGAAACGUCUUAGUACCGGCAGGAAAAGAAAAUAAAUAAUUAUGCCCCUAUUAGCAGCGAGCGAAAAGGGCACAGGGCAAACUGAAUCUCCUUUUGAAAAGAAGGCAGAGAUGUGGUGAGUAAUUAUGCCUAAAUGAACGGAUCAAAUUUUCUGGAAAGAAAGACCUUAGAGGGUGAUAGUCCCGUAGAUGAAGUUCAGAUGGUGUUUCUCAAAGAGUAGGGCGUUCCUGAUUGAACGUCUGAAUAUGGCAGGAUUAACUGCUAACCCUAAAUAUAACCAAAGACCGAUAGCGCACUAGUACCGCGAGGGAAAGCUGAAAAGUACUCUUAACAGAGGGUGAAAAGAUUUGAAAUCUAACAGCUACAGAUUGUUACUGCUCGACGCAUCUUGCGAUGCGUUGGGUUGUAAGGUACGUUUUGAAGAACGGGCCAGGGAGUUUUUUUAUGUGGCGAGACUAACUUUUUAUAAAAGGUAAUCGGAGCGAAAGCAAGUCUGAAAGGGCGAUAGUCACAUGGGGAAGACUCGAAGCCGGAUGAUCUAUUCAUGAGCAAGGCGAAGUCUGCCGAAAGGCGGAUGGAAGCCUGAACUAGUGUUACGGACAUAUACUUGGAUGACUUGUGAAUAGGGGUGAAAAGCCUAUCUAAUUCGGCGAUGUCUGGUUCCUGCUGAAAUAUACCUCAGUAUAGUCUUGUUUAGUUUGUCAGUGGUGUAAAGUACGGAUAAAUUUUGCAGGGACAAUUGUCUACGGAAAUUUUUCCAACUCAGAAGCUAUUGACUGCGUAAAACAAGAAAUAGGGUCGGUGCGUAAGGUACCGCUCCAAGACCGGAACAACGGAGACCAGAGUUAAGGUCCCUAAAUUAUGUUAAGUGCAUCAAAAAGUGUCUUGAACCUGAGACAGUAGGGAUGUAAGCUCAGAAGCAGCUAUCAUUCAAAGAAAGCGUAACAGCUCACCUAUCGAGGUUCAGGGCCUUGAAAAUGGACGGGGCUAAACAUAAUACCGACACUCUGGAGGCGCUCAGAUGAGCGUGCUGGUAAGCAGGCGUGGUUUUCGUGCAGAAGGUUUUUCGAGAGAAAGGCUGGAACGAAAACUAAUGAGAAUCCUGGUAAUAGUAGGAUGUGACUUUCCUGAGAACGGAAAGUAUCGUAAGAGCAAGGUUUUCUUGGCAAUAUUCGUUAGCCAAGAGUUAGUCAGUGCCUUAGUUGUCUCCUAACCGAAGAUGACGAUGGAAAACAGGUUAAUAUUCCUGUACUGAUAAUUUUUAUACAAUAUUUGCUUUCGGAUAAGCGAGCACUCGAGAGAGUGUUUUUGCAGAGAAAUUUGACGAGCGUAAUGCUAAAACUCAGAAUAAUCUGCUGGACAAAAUUGCUGAUUCCAGGAGCCAGUGAAAAAAAUAUUGUUCAUGAAGUUAUCAACUGUACCCAUAACCGACACUGGUGCUCUAGCUGAGAAGGCUAAGAUAUGAAAGGGAAAACCAGUUAAGGGAAUUCGGCAUAUUAGUCCUGUAGCUUCGGCUUAAGGGAUGUCUAUCUUUGUGUCUUGUUUCUUCGGAAGUGUGAUGCAUCGGUAGAUCUCAGUAACAAAGAUGGCCCGACUGUUUACCAAAAACGUAGCCAAGUGCUAAUCUGAGAAGACUUGUAUACUUGGUGAGACCUGCCCAGUGGUGGUGUCUGAAACUCCUUUUCAAGGGAGCUAAUGCCCAUCAAACGGCGGGGGUAACUAUGACCCUCUUAAGGUAAAACUAUGUAUGAAUUGCCUUAGUAAAAUCGAACUAAAUGCUGGAAAGUCUGGAGAAUCCGAUAGUACUUGAUGAAUGCUGUUCAUUCUAUUCACAGGUUGAUUGAAAAUUAAUGUAAAUCCAAAGUUUAUUAUUAACAUUAGAUUAAUCGAGCGAGUUUACGAGUGAGCAAUAUUAUCAGUAAAAAUCUAUUCGGUGCAGAUAAUCAGCAGGAAAGAUUUCUUAAUCAAUAAGAAAAAUCCUCAGAGACUAUACGUUCGAACUCGAAAGAGUAAGAUAUAGUCCGAACUGAAUAGCGAUAUUCAGAAUUAAUCAGAAAUGAUUAAUCUCCAAGAAUUUUCUUGGUAGUAACAUAAUUGAGCGUAAUGCCUUGUCGUCUGAAUGGCGACGUGCAUGAAUGGUUUAACGAGGUUGUCACUGUCCCUAACUGGAGCCUUCUGAAAAUAUCGCGUGGAUGCACACACCACGGAUACCUAGUGGGAAGUGAAGACCUUGUGGAACUUUACUGCAACUUGUUGUUGUGAUUUUAAGAGAAGUGCAUAGAAUAGGUAGGAGCGUUUGAGUCCAUCUUUUUGGAGGUGGAGGAGCAAAAAUGUAAUACUACUCAUUUUUCUUAGGAUUGCUUACUCUUCUUAGAGAACAGCAGCAGGCGGGCAGUUUGGCUGGGGCGGCGCCCUGUUGAAAACAUAUCAAUAGGACCCAAUGACAAACUCAUCUAGCUUGGAAAUCUAGAGUUGAGUGCGAAGGCAAAAGUUUGUCUGACUGUAUUCUGAACAAUAAGGAAUGCAGAGGCGAAAGCCGGGCUUAGCGAACCCACGUGCUUUUUUAAUAGAAGCCGUGUCUGAUAGAAAAGUUACCCCAAGGAUAACGGGCUUGUCGCGCCCGAUAGUUCAUAUUGACGGCGCGGUUUGGUACACAGCUGUCGGCUCUUCCUAUCCUGGUCGUGCAGAAGCGACCAAGGGUGUCGGAGUUCACGCAUUAAAAGGGAUCGUUAGCUGGGUUAAGAACGCUGCGAGGCAGUUUGUAUAAUAUCUCCUAGGUAUGUUGUUGAGUGAGUGGAACGAGUCAGUAGUACGAGAGGAACCUGACUCGGAUGCCUCUGGUGAGCAGUUGUCAUUUUGGCAGGCUGCAUAGCUACGCAUUGUAUGGAUAAGAACUGAAUGCAUCUAAGUUUGAAGCCAUCCGCAAAACGACUCAACUAAGGCCGUUGUAGAAGACGACGUUGAUAGAGUCCUUGUGUAAGACAAAAGCUUCGGCGAUUGUUUCAGCAUAGGACUACUAAAAGCCUUAAUAAAUAGUUUUU